AUGGGGGCCAAGAAGCCGCAGCUGCAGCCGCAGCCGGCGCCGGAGAAGCCAAAGCCGGACCCGCAGGUGCUAGUGCCGCCCGUCUUCGACUUCCCUCCCUUGGCCGCCCGCACCAGGAUGUUGGUCCCGGCAUAUGAGCUCAUGUUCGGGAAGCUCGCGCGACGCAGCCUCUUUGAUGACUAUUUCCAUUCUGGGGGUGUGGACGCGCAUAUUGUGUUAAAGCAGUUGGGAGAUUCUCAUGCUGAUCUGAAUGCCACCAUGUCGACAAAUGGGGGGGAAGCUCACUUUCGAUGGCAGAGGGAUUUGAACGACCCCCAUAUAUUUGUGGACUUUCUUGUGUCAACUCUGAAACCCACAAUGCGGCUGUCUUCAAGCGUUUACUAUCCGAAGUAUGGUAUUGGCGCCUUUGGGACAGCAUGCUCAGAAGAUUAUGGUGUCAUGGGUUUACGAUAUGGUUCAGAGAAUCUAUCAAUUGGGGCCUCCUUCGUCCCAUUUCCUUCGCCUGGUGAGGUACCCUACGGUGCAUGGUUGGCUGGGAGAAAAGGGAAUUUAAGUGCAGGCGUACAAUACAAACCACUAGGUGGAAGCAAGGAUCCUAUGCCUUUUACAGACUUGAAGAACUGGAAUUUUGCAAUCGGUUAUGGUCUUGGCUCAACUAGCCCACUCAGCCCUUCAUUUACUUUUGCACUAGAGCUCAUUAGAAGUUCACAGCUGGUUGCAUCAUUCUAUCAGCACCAUAUUUCUGGAAAGGAACUAAAGUAUCGGGGUGAACCAGAUAUUUUUGGAACUUUAAACUACAUUGAUCUUGGACUUGAGCUAGCCACAAGGGUGGAUAAAGACAAACCAACAGACGAUGUUGGCAAUUCCUCGUUUCAGGUAGCUGCAAGUUGGCCGCUUAAUACUGAUUUACUUGUAAAGGGGAAGUUAGGCCCCUCCAAGUCUUCUGCAGCAUUGGCGUAUAAGUUUCCACCCUUCUUUACAUGUAGUGUCACAGCCCUAAAUAUCUUACCUGCUUAUACUAAGUACCUUAGUGUUCCUAUAUAUUGUGGACUGACUGCUCGAGAAUCUGAUGCAAGAUAUUGUAAGGUGGUGAAACAACAUGAGAUGGACGCUGAUGGAAAGGAGCGCGUCCUCGAGUUUGACUUUGUUCCGGGCAACUAUGACAAUUUACCAACGGAGUUGAAGCCUAUCGACAAAGUAUUGUAA
rnacentral:rRNA from 1 species